GCAACCUCCGUCUCCCAGGUUCAAACAAUUCUUAUGCCUCAGCCUCCCGAGUAGCUGGGGCUACAGGCGCCCACCACCAUGCUUGGCUCAUUUUUCUAUUUUUAGUAGAGACAGGGUUUCACCAUAUUGGCCAGGCUGGUCUCGAACUCCUCACCUCAAGUGAUCCACCUGGUUCGGCCUCCCCAAGUGCUGGGAUUACAGGCGUGAGCCACUGCGCCUGGCCUACCUUUGUUUUUGAAGUGGGUUGGGUGGGCCUGGGUUUCUCAAAUCCCAGUAUAGCACUGCAUAGGAUAUAUCACGGUCCUCAGUUCUCAGAACCUGGGUCUCCUCAGCUGUGAAAAGGGAUAGUGAUAAUAGUGGCAAUCACAGGGUUGCUGUGAGAGAUACUUAAGAUUUUGUAGAAACACCCACGCAGGCUGGGCGUGGUGGCUCACAUCUGUAAUCCCAGCACUUUGGGAGGCCGAGGUGGGAGGAUCACUUGAGCACAGGAGUUCAAGACCAGCCAGGGCAACACAGUGAGAUCUCCUCACUACAAAAAAUAUAUAUAAAUUGGGUGGGCGUGGUGGUGUGCACCUGUAGUCCAAUCUACUCGGGAGGCUGAGGUGGGAGGAUUGCUUGAGCCUGGGAGGUGGGAGGUCGAGGCUGCAGUGAGCUGUGAUUGUGCCCCUGCUUUCUAUCCUGGGCAAAAGAAUGAGACUCUCAGAAAAAAAAAAGAAAAAGAAAUGAUGACUUCAAGACCCAAGGAAAAUUGCCCGUUAAAAUUUUUUAAAAUAAUCUUUUAAAUAAAAAAUUUAAAAGAGAAACACCCAUGUAUCGUGUACAUUGAACGGUGCCUGGCACCUGCUCAGCUUUGAAUCAUUUCUCCCGUGAUGUUGCCAUCAAAUCUCCAGGGAAGGGGAAGCAGGCACCAUCACGGCCACCAGGGGGCGCCGCUGCCACAGCUCUGAGUCUCGGCUGGGCCGGGCUGGCAUCUCCACCGCCCAUCACCUCCCACCAUUGUCCCCCUCCGUUUUCAGGCCGGGCCUCCACUUUCUCAUGUCACCCACUCUGCUAUUACUCCAUGCUCCCAUCCUUCCUACGUCCUUACUUUCACCCAGGAUGAGAAAGUGCCCCACCGUGUCCAGGCCACAUCACCUUGUCCCAUGACCUAUGUCCCUUCCCUCCCCAAGGGAAGCUUCAGCCCAUACCUUGCGCCAUUUACCCGGCCCAAGGGCUCUCCCUGCGCAGGUAAUGACCUUGUCCCUUUUCCCUCUGGAUGGUUUCUCUGAAGGUCAGGUGAGGUCAUGUGUGGGGAAGUCCCUCAGAGACAAACACUGGGGUCUGGUGCAACAGCUCACCCCUGUAAUCCCAACACUUUAGGAGGCCAAGGCAGGAGGAUCGUUGGAGGCCAGGAGGAGUUCAAGACCACUCUGGGAAAAAUGGCAAGAUCCCAUCUCUACAAAUAACUUAAAAAUGAGCCAGGUGUUGAGCAUGAACAGCUACUCAGGAGACUGAGGUGGGAGGGUCGUUUGAGGCCAGGAGUUUGAGGCUGCAGUGAGCUAUGACUGUGCCACUGCACUCCAGCCUGGGUGACAGAAUAAGACCCUUGUCUCAAAAAUAAAUAAAUAAAUAAAUAGGCAAAUAAAAAUCAGCCAGGUGGGGUGAUGCAAGCCUAUAAUUGCAGCACUUUGGGAGGCUGAGGCAGGAGGAUUGCUCGAGGUCAGGAGUUCAAGACUAGCCUGGGCAACAUCUCUACAAAAAAAUUUAGAAAUGAACCAGAUGUGGUGGUGGGCACCUAUAGUCCCUGCUACUCAGGAGGCUGAGGUGGGAGGAUCACUUGAGGCCAGGAGUUCAAGGCUGCAGUGAGCUAUGAUUGCACCACUGCACUCCAGCCUGGAUCACAUAGUGAAACUGUGUCUCUAAAAUCAAACCAAACCAAACCAAACCACAGCCCAGAGCUGGUGACAGGGUUGGGACAGCUGCAGUGAGCCUCAGGCCAGGGGCCCAUGCCUUCCUCAGGAGCUCUGAGGAGUCCUUCCUGGUCAGAACACACUCCAGGAAUUGCACUUUUCCAGCAGGGCUGGAGAGGUGUCCACAGGCCUGAGCAGACCCGCCCCUGGGAGAGAGGCCUGUGGACACCAAGGCCAACUCUAAAGGGGGUAGCUGCAUUUGUAGCCCAGCUCCUGGGCACUUACUAGGCCCGAAUGCGGGCUCCGCGUGGCCAGAGAAUUGGAAAAUGCAGAAUUUUUUUUCCACAGGAAAUCUCCAAAUGUUUGAAUAUUGGCAGUUAGUUACAAUUAUUUUCAAACUCUUCAUGGGCCAGUCAAGGCAAUCUACAGCCGGGCUUGGCCUGUGGGUACCAUUUUGCAGCCUCUGAUGGAAGCUUCUUGAAGACACUGGUCAAUGCUAAUGGUCAAUACCUUGCAGCACUGAUCACAGGGAUAACCUGAGUUUUAAGCUGCCUGGGUGAUCUUUAUUUUAUUUUUAUUAUUAAUGUUUUAAUUUUUUUUUAGGGGCAGGGUCUUGCUCUGUUGCCCAGGCUGCAGUGCAGUGAUGUUAUCAUAGCUCACUGCAGCCUUGACCUCCUGGGCUCAAGCAGUCCUCCCGACUCAGCCUCCUGAGUAGCUGGGACCACAGGCACUUGCAAACGUGCUAGGCUAAUUUUUUAAUUUUUGGGUGUGUGUGUGGCGGGGGUUGGGUCUCACUGUGUUGUCCAGGCUAGUCUCGAACUCCUGGCCUCAAGUAAUCCUCCCUCCUCUGCUUCCCAAAGUGCUGGGAUUAUAGACGUGAGCCACUGUGCCUGGCUGAGCUUCACUCCUUCUCAUGGAAGACUUUUUGUCUGAGCAUUGAUAGACACUUGGUAACCCCAUUAUAGUGUGGGCACUGGGCUCUUAUAAGCAGGGGGCAUCAUAUACUCUCCUUGGUCACCAGGAUGACAUUUCUGGGUGCACAUAAGAAAUGUCAACUGCGCUGGGUGUGGUGGCUCAUGCCUGUAGUCCCAGCUACUUGGAAGGUUGAGGUGAGGAGAUCGCUCAAUCCCAGGAGUUUGGCAUUCAUUGGUGACCUCCCAGAAGCAGGGGACCACCAGGUUGCCUAAGGAGAGGUGAACCGGUCCAGGUCAGAAACAGAGCAGGUCAAAACUCCCGUGCUGAUCAGCAGUGGGAUUACACCUGUGAAUAGCUACUGCACUCCAGCCUGAGCAACAUAGUCUCUAUUUAAAUUAAUAUAAUAUAAUAUAAUAUAAUAUAUAUAAUAUAAUAUAAUAUAAUAAUAAAGGUCAACUGCAAAUUGCACACUGAUUCUUCAACCACCCCAGGAAAGGCCGACCUCACACUGCAUGUGGAUGGCGUGACAGUCCUGAAUGUGGGGAAAGAGAGCUUGUCCUCGCAGCUACGUCAACAGAAGCCAGAGACUGGGGCCAAGAAGAAAGACCCUGCGGGGUUGGGCUGGAAAGUCCUGGACGCCCAGCUCUUCACACCCACUCAGUGCAUGUGAUCACAGCUGUAGGAUCUAGAAUAGUUGCACUUGACAGAUGGCCUCUGAAGGUGUUGAAAUGGGGCUUCCCGUGGCCAACUGAUACCUGCAUGCAGUAAGAAGCCAGGUGCUGCCACCACCCUCCCCCUGUUUGUAUCCAGGGGAUGGGACUUCUUGUGGAGGUCCCGGUUUGUCUUUGCUUCCGACCCCAAGCAGGCAGCUGGAUCAAGCUGUCCUGAGAAGGUGAUCCAUCUCCCUAGCUGGGUGUAUGCAAUGCUGAAUGCAGCUAUCCCAGACACAUUUAUUCCAUAUACACCCCCCUCCCCAAAUUCCAUGGAAUGAACGAAGUCAGAUUUCAACAAGGAUGACUACAGCCCAGGGCGAAAUAACUCUGCUAUCCCCUCUCUGUAGCUCCCCAGACUCUUUAUUUUAUUUUAUUUUAUUUUAUUUUAUUUAUUUAUUUUUUGAG
rnacentral:lncRNA from 10 species